CAUCACCUCUAGCAUAACAAGUAUUAGAGGCACUGCCUGCCCAGUGACUAGCGUUAAACGGCCGCGGUAUCCUGACCGUGCAAAGGUAGCAUAAUCAUUUGUUCCUUAAUUAGGGACUGGAAUGAACGGCUUGACGAGGGUUUAACUGUCUCUUAUUUCUAAUCAGUGAAAUUGACCUCCCCGUGAAGAGGCGGGGAUUACAAAAUAAGACGAGAAGACCCUAUGGAGCUUUAAUUUACUAGUUUAAUUUUAACAACAAACAACCUAUAGGCCUAACACACACAAAAUCUAAACUAGUAAUUUCGGUUGGGGUGACCUCGGAGCAUAAAAAAACCUCCGAAUGAUUUUAACCAAGACAUACAAGUCUAAGUAGUUAUACAUCUUAUUGACCCAAAAACCUUUUGAUCAACGGACCAAGUUACCCUAGGGAUAACAGCGCAAUCCUAUUCAAGAGUCCAUAUCGACAAUUAGGGUUUACGACCUCGAUGUUGGAUCAGGACAUCCCAAUGGUGCAGAAGCUAUUAAUGGUUCGUUUGUUCAACGAUUAAAGUCCUACGUGAUCA
rnacentral:rRNA from 1 species